rnacentral:rRNA from 1 species
GAUGAACGCUGGCGGUAUGCUUUACACAUGCAAGUCGUACGAGAGUUUUGAACUCAAGUGGCGGACGGGUGAGUAACACGUAAGAAUUUGCCUUUAGGAGGGGGACAACAACUGGAAACGGUUGCUAAUACCCCAUAUGCUUUCGAGUGAAACGGUUUUUCCGCCUAAAGAGAAGCUUGCGGCUGAUUAGCUUGUUGGUAAGGUAAUGGCUUACCAAGGCGACGAUCAGUAUCUGGUUUGAGAGGACGAUCAGACACACUGGAACUGAGACACGGUCCAGACUCCUACGGGAGGCAGCAGUGGGGAAUUUUCCGCAAUGGGCGAAAGCCUGACGGAGCAAUACCGCGUGAGGGAUGAAGGCCUAUGGGUUGUAAACCUCUUUUUUCAGGGA